rnacentral:rRNA from 1 species
UGGGGGAUAUUGCACAAUGGGCGAAAGCCUGAUGCAGCGACGCCGCGUGGGGGAUGAAGGCCUUCGGGUUGUAAACUUCUUUUGCUCUGAACAAGGCAUGCUAAUGGGUGUGUUGAGUGUAGGGGUUGAUUAGCGCCGGCUAACUACGUGCCAGCAGCCGCGGUAAUACGUAGGGCGCGAGCGUUGUCCGGAAUUAUUGGGCGUAAAGGGCUUGUAGGUGGCUGGUUGCGUCUGUCGUGAAAGCUCAUGGCUUAACUGUGGGUUGGGGGUGGGUAGGGGCUGGCUUGAGUGCAGUAGGGGAGGCUGGAAUUCCUGGUGUAGCGGUGGGAUGCGCAGAUAUCAGGAGGAAUACCGGUGGCGAAGGCGGGUCUCUGGGCUGUUACUGACACUGAGGAGCGAAAGCAUGGGGAGCGAACAGG